AGGGUUCGAUUCUGGCUCAGGAUUAACGCUGGCGGCAUGCCUAAUACAUGCAAGUCGAAUGGAAGAGCUUGCUUUCCAUGGCGAACGGGUGAGUAACACGUAGGUAACCUACCUUAAGGACGAGGAUAACCUUUGGAAACGAAGGAUAAUACUGGAUAGGACAUUACAAAGCACAUGCUUAAAUGUUUAAAGGAGCAAUCCACCAUAAGAGGGGCCUGCGGCGCAUUAGCUAGUUGGUGAGAUAAAGGCCCACCAAGGCGAUGAUGCGUAGCUGGACUGAGAGGUUGAACAGCCACAAUGGGACUGAGAACGGCCCAUACUCCUACGGGAGGCAGCAGUAGGGAAUUUUCGGCAAUGGGCAAAAGCCUGACCGAGCAAAUGCCGCGUGAUCGAAGAAGUAUUUCGGUAUGUAAAGAUCUUUUAUCAGGGAAGAAAAAACAAAUUGACUGAACCUGAUGAAUAAGCUCCGGCUAACUACGUGCCAGCCGCCGC
rnacentral:rRNA from 1 species